rnacentral:rRNA from 1 species
UACGUAGGUGGCAAGCGUUGUCCGGAUUUACUGGGCGGAAAGCGUGCGCAGGCGGUCGUGUAAGACAGGUGUGAAAUCCCCGGGCUUAACCUGGGAACUGCAUUUGUGACUGCACGGCUGGAGUGCGGCAGAGGGGGAUGGAAUUCCGCGUGUAGCAGUGAAAUGCGUAGAUAUGCGGAGGAACACCGGUGGCGAAGGCGGCAUCCUGGACCGGCAUUGACGCUGAGGAGCGAAAGCCAGGGGAGCAAACGGG